rnacentral:rRNA from 1 species
UACAGAGGUCUCAAGCGUUGUUCGGAUUCAUUGGGCGUAAAGGGUGUGUAGGUGGCGCCGUAAGUCGGGUGUGAAAUUUCGGAGCUUAACUCCGAAACUGCACUUGAUACUGCUCUGCUUGAGGACUGGAGAGGAGACUGGAAUUCACGGUGUAGCAGUGAAAUGCGUAGAUAUCGUGAGGAAGACCAGUGGCGAAGGCGGGUCUCUGGACAGUUCCUGACGCUGAGGCGCGAAGGCCAGGGGAGCAAACGGG